CAGGAAGAUGACAGUAACUCAAAUAACCAUGUGUGGCAACAGUGCGGUGCAGAGGAGCAUCUCUGAACUCAAAGCUCAUCGAACCUUGAGGUGGAUGGAAUGCAACAGCAGAAGGUAAUGAAGAACAUACAGGAGAUACCCAAUAAAGGCACUUUACAGAUGAAGGUAGAACAGCAAAGGCUAGUACCCAAGAUGGAGCUGACUAGAUUUACAGCUUUCUGCAGCUUCUUUUGGUCCUGUGCAGUAACCCCUCCAUACCAGACAGUGAUGCAGCCUGUCAGAAUGCUCUCCACAGUACAACUAUAGAAGUAUUUGAGUGUAUUUGUUGACAUGCCA